AUUUCAUUGUAGAAAAUUUGAAUAUAAAAAUAAAAUAAAAAUUCUACCACAUUAAAUGAGUUACUGAGAAUGUUUUUUUCCCCUCAGGCCUUUUGGAAUUUUUUCUCCUGCUGUGGUGACCAUGGGUGAUGGGGAAUCUGUUCAGCUGAGGAAAGGGGGCCUGAGAAAUGGCUACCACGCUGGAGCAAGGAAGGGGCAAACCACUCGCUCCCAAGCAGGGAGGUAGUGGGAGGGGAGAGGGAGGGACAUAGUUACGAAAAAUGACAAUACAGGAUUCUGAGGCCAUGUAAUUAGAAUGGGUCUUCUUUAAAUCCUUCAAAAAGUCUCUAUUGGCAGGCAAGUCUGGUGUCAGCAGCCUUGGUAAUUCCAGCUCCAAU
rnacentral:ncRNA from 1 species